rnacentral:rRNA from 1 species
ACCAGGAUUUCCUUAGUAGCGGCGAGCGAACAGGAAGGUGCCCAGCACCGAAUCCCGCGGUUCCGCCGCAGGGAAAUGUGGUGUUCGGGAGGGUCCGACUAUCCCGAGGUGUCGCGUCGCGUCCAAGUCCAUCUUGAAUGGGGCCAUUUACCCGCAGGGGGUGCCAGGCCCGUAGCGACCGGUGCGCGCCUCGGGAGGAUCUCUCCUUAGAGUCGGGUUGCUUGAGAGUGCAGCUCUAAGUGGGUGGUAAACUCCAUCUAAGGCUAAAUACGACUACGAGACCGAUAGCGAACAAGUACCGUGAAGGAAAGUUGAAAAGAACUUUGAAGAGAGAGUUCAAGAGUACGUAAAACCGUUCAGGUGUAAACCUAAGAAACUCAAAAGAUCGAACGGGGAGAUUCAUCGUCAGCGCCGUCGGCUUCGCGUCGGUGGGCGAUGCGCGCGCGGUUCCCGCGCGUGCACGCUGCCGCGCACGCAUGACCGUUGUCGUCGUCGUGCACUUUUCCCCUAGUAGAACGUCGCGACCCGCUGGGUGUCGGUCUACGGCCCGGGUGCGGUGGCUGCCGCGUCGCCGGUAAAACGGCACGCGGCGAACCACCGGACGCUCGGCCGGCUGCCCGGCGGUACCCGCACGGUAUCAGGCCGCAGUCUUCUCACGAGUCUGCGUCAAGCCCGUCGCAAGCGCGCGCCACAGUUACUCGGAGGCACGGACCCAGCGCCGUCCUCGGUCCUGGCCCGCUGUUGGCCGACGGUGACCCUUUGACAGGCCUUACACGGGGCGACGCGCGCUCGGCGUUGUCGCCGUGCCGCGCGUCAGCCUCGAUACCGGUCGGCGACGCUACUG